rnacentral:hammerhead_ribozyme from 1 species
AUCCAGAUGACGAGUCCUAAAAAUAGGACGAGACGCGCGUCCUAGAU